UACGGAGGGUGCGAACGUUAAUCGGAAUCACUGGGCGUAAAGCGCGCGUAGGCGGUUCGUUAAGUGGGAUGUGAAAUCCCCGGGCUUAACCUGGGAAUUGCAUUUCAAACUGGCCGACUAGAGUACGGUAGAGGGAGGUAGAAUUUCCUGUGUAGCGGUGAAAUGCGUAGAUAUAGGAAGGAAUACCAGUGGCGAAAGCGGCUUCCUGGACCAGUACUGACGUUCAUGUGCGAAAGCGUGGGGAGCAAACAGG
rnacentral:rRNA from 1 species